AUAUGGUCAAGUGAAGAAGCGCAUACGGUGGAUGCCUUGGCAGUCAGAGGCGAUGAAAGACGUGGUAGCCUGCGAAAAGCUUCGGGGAGUCGGCAAACAGACUUUGAUCCGGAGAUGUCUGAAUGGGGGAACCCAGCCAUCAUAAGAUGGUUAUCUUGUACUGAAUACAUAGGUGCAAGAGGCGAACCAGGGGAACUGAAACAUCUAAGUACCCUGAGGAAAAGAAAUCAACCGAGAUUCCCUUAGUAGUGGCGAGCGAACGGGGACUAGCCCUUAAGUGGCUUUGAGAUUAGCGGAACGCUCUGGAAAGUGCGGCCAUAGUGGGUGAUAGCCCUGUACGCGAAAAUCUCUUAGUCAUGAAAUCGAGUAGGACGGAGCACGAGAAACUUUGUCUGAAUAUGGGGGGACCAUCCUCCAAGGCUAAAUACUACUGACUGACCGAUAGUGAACUAGUACCGUGAGGGAAAGGCGAAAAGAACCCCGGAGAGGGGAGUGAAAUAGAUCCUGAAACCGUAUGCGUACAAGCAGUGGGAGCCUACUUUGUUAGGUGACUGCGUACCUUUUGUAUAAUGGGUCAGCGACUUAUUUUCAGUGGCGAGCUUAACCGAAUAGGGGAGGCGUAGCGAAAGCGAGUCUUAAUAGGGCGUCUAGUCGCUGGGAAUAGACCCGAAACCGGGCGAUCUAUCCAUGGGCAGGUUGAAGGUUGGGUAACACUAACUGGAGGACCGAACCGACUACCGUUGAAAAGUUAGCGGAUGACCUGUGGAUCGGAGUGAAAGGCUAAUCAAGCUCGGAGAUAGCUGGUUCUCCUCGAAAGCUAUUUAGGUAGCGCCUCAUGUAUCACUGUAGGGGGUAGAGCACUGUUUCGGCUAGGGGGUCAUCCCGACUUACCAAACCGAUGCAAACUCCGAAUACCUACAAGUGCCGAGCAUGGGAGACACACGGCGGGUGCUAACGUCCGUCGUGAAAAGGGAAACAACCCAGACCGUCAGCUAAGGUCCCAAAGUUAUGGUUAAGUGGGAAACGAUGUGGGAAGGCUUAGACAGCUAGGAGGUUGGCUUAGAAGCAGCCACCCUUUAAAGAAAGCGUAAUAGCUCACUAGUCGAGUCGGCCUGCGCGGAAGAUGUAACGGGGCUCAAACCAUACACCGAAGCUACGGGUAUCACGUAAGUGAUGCGGUAGAGGAGCGUUCUGUAAGCCUGUGAAGGUGAGUUGAGAAGCUUGCUGGAGGUAUCAGAAGUGCGAAUGCUGACAUGAGUAACGACAAUGGGUGUGAAAAACACCCACGCCGAAAGACCAAGGUUUCCUGCGCAACGUUAAUCGACGCAGGGUUAGUCGGUCCCUAAGGCGAGGCUGAAAAGCGUAGUCGAUGGAAAACAGGUUAAUAUUCCUGUACUUCUGGUUAUUGCGAUGGAGGGACGGAGAAGGCUAGGCCAGCUUGGCGUUGGUUGUCCAAGUUUAAGGUGGUAGGCUGAGAUCUUAGGUAAAUCCGGGAUCUUAAGGCCGAGAGCUGAUGACGAGUUACCUUUUAGGUGACGAAGUGGUUGAUGCCAUGCUUCCAAGAAAAGCUUCUAAGCUUCAG
rnacentral:rRNA from 1 species